UAGGGAAUCUUCCGCAAUGGACGAAAGUCUGACGGAGCAACGCCGCGUGAGUGAAGAAGGAUUUCGGUUCGUAAAACUCUGUUGGGAGGGAAGAAAAAAUGUAUAGUAACUAUAUACAAAAGAGACGGUACCUAACCAGAAAGCCACGGCUAACUACGUGCCAGCAGCCGCGGUAAUACGGAGGUGGCAAGCGGUGUCCGGAAUUAUUGGGCGUAAAGCGCGCGCAGGUGGUGUAGAAAGUCUGAUGUGAAAGCCCACGGCUCAACCGUGGGGGGUCAUUGGAAACUAAUAAACUUGAGUGCAGGAGAGAAAAGUGGAAUUCCUAGUGUAGCGGUGAAAUGCGUAGAGAUUAGGGGGAACACCGGUGGCGCGAGCGCCUUUUUGGCCUGCAACUGACACUGUGGCGCGAAAGCGUGUGGAGCACACAGG
rnacentral:rRNA from 1 species